AAUCAACGCUGGCGGCGUGCCUAACACAUGCAAGUCGAACGCGAGAGGGGCUUCGGCCCUGAUUGAGUGGCAAACGGGUGAGUAACGCGUGGGUGACCUACCUUCGAGUGGGGGAUAACGUUCCGAAAGGGACGCUAAUACCGCAUAACAUCCUGUCUUUGGACAGAUGGAGAUCAAAGCCGGGAUCGUAAGACCUGGCGCUUGAGGAGGGGCCCGCGUCCGAUUAGCUAGNGGUGGGGUAAUGGCCCACCAAGGCAACGAUCGGUAGCCGGCUGAGAGGGCGGACGGCCACACUGGGACUGAGACACGGCCCAGACUCCUACGGGAGCAGCAGUGGGAAUUGCU
rnacentral:rRNA from 1 species